rnacentral:sRNA from 1 species
GUUUUCUUAUACCCGAAGUUUGUUUUUUUCUUGUAAUCCAAACUCAAAGUAUGAGUGUAUAAUAGUUGUGGAUUACUUAAUGAUUUGAGUAAGUUAUUCUCUUAAAUUGAUAUUUAUAUUCUCUUAAAUUGAUAUUUAUAUAAUAAACCACUGAGUGUGAAGAAUACGUAAAGAGCUCCAUCAUCAAAUUCUUAGGUUUUUAGAAUCCAACACUACCCUCUGUUAAAUUGGUUUAAGAUCAAUGUUGUUUCUGAAUUAUGUGUAUGAUGCAUUGUUGAGAAUGUUGUUAGAAUUUUUU